rnacentral:rRNA from 1 species
GACGAACGCUGGCGGCGUGCUUAACACAUGCAAGUCGAACGGAAAGGCCCUGCUUUUGUGGGGUGCUCGAGUGGCGAACGGGUGAGUAACACGUGAGUAACCUGCCCUUGACUUUGGGAUAACUUCAGGAAACUGGGGCUAAUACCGGAUAGGAGCUCCUGCUGCAUGGUGGGGGUUGGAAAGUUUCGGCGGUUGGGGAUGGACUCGCGGCUUAUCAGCUUGUUGGUGGGGUAGUGGCUUACCAAGGCUUUGACGGGUAGCCGGCAUGAGAGGGUGACCGGCCACAUUGGGCCUGCGAGACGGCCCAGACUCCUACGGGAGGCAGCGGUGGGGAAUAUGGCACAAUGAGCGGGAGCCUGAUACAGCGGCGCCGCGUGCGGAAUGACGGCCUUCGGGUUGUGAACCGCUUUCGCCUGUGACGAAGCGUGAGUGACGGUAAUGGGUAAAGAAGCACCGGCUAACUACGUG